AGCCUGCCCAGUGACAAGUUCAACGGCCGCGGUACCCUAACCGCGCGAAGGUAGCAUAAUCACUUGUUCUUUAAAUAGGGACUAGUAUCAACGGCAUCACGAGGGUUGCACUGUCUCCUUUCUCCAAUCAGUGAAACUGAUCUCCCCGUGAAGAAGCGGGGAUUCUUCUAUAAGACGAGAAGACCCUAUGGAGCUUUAAACCCAACAACAAACCUGUCAUAUUAUUCUUCAUAACCUACAGGAAUCAUGUUUGUUGGUUUUAGGUUGGGGUGACCGCGGAGUAAAACUUAUCCUCCACGACGAAAAGAACUAAAUCUUUAUCUAAGAGACACCACUCUAAGAAUUAGUAUACUAACGGACAAUGACCCAAUAUUUGAUCAACGGACCAAGUUACCCUAGGGAUAACAGCGCAAUCUACUUUGAGAGCUCCUAUCGACAAGUAGGCUUACGACCUCGAUGUUGGAUCAGGGUAUCCCAGUGGUGCAGCCGCUACUGAAGGUUCGUUUGUUCAACGAUUAAAACCCUACGUGAUCUGAUU
rnacentral:rRNA from 1 species